UUACGGCCUUAUCACAUUGAAACCCCGGUCCCCGUACGAUCACCGAAGUCAAGCAACGUCACACCUGGUCAGUACCUAGAUGAGUAACUCUUUGGGAAUACAAGGUGCUGUAAG